rnacentral:rRNA from 1 species
UGGGGAAUCUUCCACAAUGGACGCAAGUCUGAUGGAGCAACGCCGCGUGAGUGAAGAAGGGUUUCGGCUCGUAAAGCUCUGUUGUUAAAGAAGAACGUGGGUAAGAGUAACUGUUUACCCAGUGACGGUAUUUAACCAGAAAGCCACGGCUAACUACGUGCCAG